UCGGUACUAUUGGCAUUAUCUUGUUUCUUGCAGCCUUUGGAACAGAAUAUUGGUUACUUGCCACAGAGAUAUGUGAAAGUUUUGACUCUAACAAUGGAACUUUGGACAUUGAAGAAGAGUGAAUCAGCCUCAUCCCAAACGCUGUAUUCCUGGCUAUCUCUUUCCUAUGCCAAUUGCUGUUGGACCUUUCCCACAUCCUUCUUUUGAUGCAACCACAGUAUAUAGAGGCUUCUGGACGAUCUUUAUUAUAUUAGGUGUUGGUUCUGGUCUAGCUGGGGCAUUUCUGCUGGUGUGUGGUGUACCCUUUGCCAGUGCCAGAAGUUAUAAAGUUGGAGGUGGCUUCCUGAUGAUAUCGGGUAAGUUGUCAUAUCAUCAUGUGGGGAAAAACUAGUAAAUAGAGAGCUGAGUGUAUGCGUGUGUUUAUACAACAUUUAUAUGCGAGAAACUGUACUGAAAAGAAGGCAAACAUAAUUAGUGUUACUGAAUUGUACACGUGAAGAAUGUUGAAAUGACAAAUGUUUUGUUUCCUUUAUAUUUACAACAAUAAAAAAUAUAAAGGAAAGUACUGGGGAAUUGGGCAUAUGCCGUUUAUCCAUAUUUGUAUAAACUCCUGCUUUUUUGUAUGGUUUUUUAUGUGAACUUUUCCCUCAGAUGGGUGUUAGAAAGAUCAUAUAUAACGACGUAUACAUUUAUUUCCAAAAUCUUGGUAGUGUUGAUCAUUUAUCUUUAUCUCUUAAUGGUUAGGUCACAGAUAUAAACAUUUAUAGCCUCCCUUUUUUUUUUUUAAUUGGCAGGCCUUCUCUGCAUGUGAGAGUUGGAUUUUUUAAAUUGUAUUUUAGAUGAGGGUUUACAGAGAAAAUUAGUUUCUCAUUAAACAAUUAAUACACAUAUUGUUUUGUGACAUUGGUUGCCACCCCAUGACAUGUCAACACUUUUCCCUUCUCGACCUUGGGUUCUCUAUUACCAGCUUUCCUGUCCCCGCCUGCAUUCUCGUCCUUGCCCCAGGGCUGGUGUGCCCAUUUAGUCUUGUUUUUUAUGGGCCUGUCUAAUC